CAAAAACUCCAGUUGGGAGUUACUGGUUUCUGUGUAAAGUAUUGUUCUUUUGUGUUACUGCAGGAUAUGGUUUGAGCCCUCAGGCUAUGAACUGCAUCAUGAAGCGAUAUAGCAAUCAUGGACGAAUCGCCUUUGAUGAGUUCGUUAGCUGUUGUGUGAGGCUUCGUGCUCUGACCGAUCAGUUCCGAAGGAGGGACCCGAGCCAAAUUGGAAAUGCAUCAUUUCAGUAUGAUGAUUUCAUCCAGGUCACCAUGAGCGUAUAAAAGGGACAAGAAACAACUGGGACACACAAGCCUUUUAAAAUAUUCAUAUUAUGUAUGUACUUUUAAUCAUUGUUGUACAAACCAGAUCCAAAUGUAACAUUUAAUUUUACUACAAUCCUUUUUUAAGUAGUCCAUAUUAUGACAAACUAAUAUGACUAUAAGAACAUCUUGCUAUACCACUAUUAAACACUUGAGUACCUGUGGACUGCAACAUAUUAUCCCUCUCACAUUUAAUGGAGUCGGUGUGUAAUGCUGACUAUCAUAUGUCUGUCAACGCUGUUAGAAAUAAAACACUAUA